rnacentral:rRNA from 1 species
GUGGGGAAUAUUGCGCAAUGGGGGAAACCCUGACGCAGCAACGCCGCGUGAUUGAAGAAGGCCUUCGGGUUGUAAAGAUCUUUAAUUGGGGACGAAAUAAAUGACGGUACCCAAAGAAUAAGCUUCGGCUAACUACGUGCCAGCAGCCGCGGUAAUACGUAGGGAGCUAGAGUUAUCCGGAUUUACUGGGUGUAAAGGGCGAGUAGGAGGGCCGACAAGUUGGGAGUGAAAUCCGGGGGCUUAACCCCCGAACUGCUUUCAAAACUGUUGGUCUUGAGUGAUGGAGAGGCAGGCGGAAUUCCCAGUGUAGCGGUGAAAUGCGUAGAUAUUGGGAGGAACACCAGUGGCGAAGGCGGCCUGCUGGACAUUAACUGACGCUGAGGCGCGAAAGCGUGGGGAGCAAACAGGAUUAGAAACCCGAGUAGUCC